ACGUAGGGUGCGAGCGUUGUCCGGAAUUACUGGGCGUAAAGAGCUCGUAGGUGGUUUGUCGCGUCGUCUGUGAAAUUCCGGGGCUUAACUUCGGGCGUGCAGGCGAUACGGGCAUAACUUGAGUGCUGUAGGGGAGACUGGAAUUCCUGGUGUAGCGGUGAAAUGCGCAGAUAUCAGGAGGAACACCGAUGGCGAAGGCAGGUCUCUGGGCAGUUACUGACGCUGAGGAGCGAAAGCAUGGGUAGCAAACAGG
rnacentral:rRNA from 1 species